AAAAAAACUUGUUUUAUUGUUUGUUUUGAGACAAGGUUUUACUAUGGCCUGGCUAGCCUGGAACUCACUAUGUAGAGCAGGCUGACCCUUGAACUCACAGAGAUAUACCGGACCGGCUUCUACCUCCUGAGUGCUGGGAUGAAAGGCUUGGAAGAGCGCAGGAGUCUGGUCGGCCUGCCUCCACCCUCCUCACAGCUUCCAGACAGAGAUGCAGCACG
rnacentral:lncRNA from 1 species